AACGAACGCUGGCGGCAUGCCUAACACAUGCAAGUCGAACGCCCCGCAAGGGGAGUGGCAGACGGGUGAGUAACGCGUGGGAACAUACCCUUUCCUGCGGAAUAGCUCCGGGAAACUGGAAUUAAUACCGCAUACGCCCUACGGGGGAAAGAUUUAUCGGGGAAGGAUUGGCCCGCGUUGGAUUAGCUAGUUGGUGGGGUAAAGGCCUACCAAGGCGACGAUCCAUAGCUGGUCUGAGAGGAUGAUCAGCCACAUUGGGACUGAGACACGGCCCAAACUCCUACGGAAGGCAGCAGUGGGGAAUAUUGGACAAUGGGCGCAAGCCUGAUCCAGCCACGCCGCGUGAGUGAUGAAGGCCUUAGGGUUGUAAAGCUCUUUCACCGAUGAAGAUAAUGACGGUAGUCGGAGAAGAAGCCCCGGCUAACUUCGUGCCAGCCGCCGCCGUAAUAC
rnacentral:rRNA from 1 species